rnacentral:rRNA from 1 species
AUUGAACGCUGGCGGCAUGCCUUACACAUGCAAGUCGAACGGCAGCACGGGUGCUUGCACCUGGUGGCGAGUGGCGAACGGGUGAGUAAUACAUCGGAACGUACCUUAUCGUGGGGGAUAACGCAGCGAAAGCUGUGCUAAUACCGCAUACGCCCUGAGGGGGAAAGCGGGGGAUCGAAAGACCUCGCGCGAUUAGAGCGGCCGAUGCCUGAUUAGCUUGUUGGUGGGGUAAAAGCCCACCAAGGCGACGAUCAGUAGCUGGUCUGGGAGGACGAUCAGCCACACUGGGACUGAGACACGGCCCAGACUCCUACGGGAGGCAGCAGUGGGGAAUUUUGGACAAUGGGGGCAACCCUGAUCCAGCAAUGCCGCGUGAGUGAAGAAGGCCUUCGGGUUGUAAAGCUCUUUUGUCAGGGAAGAAACACCGGCUCUAACACAGUCCGGGAAUGACGGUACCUGAAGAAUAGGCACCGGCUAACUACGUGCCAGCAGCCGCCGUAA